rnacentral:rRNA from 1 species
CAGUCGCCACGGGAAUACGGAGGGGGCUAGCGUUGUUCGGAAUUACUGGGCGUAAAGCGCACGUAGGCGGCUUGGUAAGUUAGAGGUGAAAGCCUGGAGCUCAACUCCAGAAUUGCCUUUAAGACUGCCGAGCUAGCAGGUGAGAGAGGUAAGUGGAAUUCCGAGUGUAGAGGUGAAAUUCGUAGAUAUUCGGAAGAACACCAGUGGCGAAGGCGGCUUACUGGCUCAUACUGGACGCUGAGGUGCGAAAGCGUGGGGAGCAAACAGGAUUAGAUACCCCCGUAGUCCCUGUAUCUUAUAC